CGUUGGAAGGUAAGUCCCUCCCCCCGGGGUCAGGCUGAGGGUGAGGGUUUGAAUGAGGAUUCCGGUGAGUGACAGCCUUGCAGUUUCUGCACCUGGGUAUCGGUGUGCGGCUGUCCUAGUAUCAGAAUGAGAUUUCACCUUAGGCUCAGCCACAGUGGAGGAGGUCGAGGACCUCCCUCUGGGAAGGUAGGAAUCAGGUGGUGGGUUAGGGUUAGGGUUAGGACAGGGGAGCACGACACGGAAGGAAUUCACACAGCAGACAAUUUGGGCGUGAGAGGAGGUCGAGGACCGCCCUCGGGGAAGGUAGGAAUCAGGUGGUGGGUUAGGGUUAGGGUUAGGACAGGGGAGCACGGCACCGCAAGAAUUCACACGGCAGACAAUUUGGGCGUGAGAGGUAAGGUGAGGGCAGUGACUUUUGUGAAGCUCGGAUGUGCCGUGGUUUUCCCUCGGACCGGAGGCUUGCCGCCUUGACAGAAUCGGGAGGGAGGGGCCAUCGCCUAGCGUUAGAGCUACAUUUAGGGGCUGGAACGGAUUCCCCGUUGGGCUCCCCGUGUAGUGUAGCGUGUGACGGAGGGUAAGGCUUCGUGUUCAUUGGCCCCUGAGUUUUAGGAAUGAUGUAGGAAUGUAAGUCCCUCUUCGAGGCUCAGGGGUAUGUUUAGGGUUAGGCGGAGGAUUCUGGAGAAGGAUAGCUUUGGGAUUUCGCUGACUGGGUGUCAGGUUGUGGGUUUCCUAGUUAGUGUCAGCAUGAGAUGGCACCUGAGGCUUAAGCACAGGGGAGGAUUUGAAGUGCCGCCCCACGGCAACCGAGGAAUCAGGCUGUGGGCUAGGGUUAGGGUUAGGAUUGGUGAGCAUGACCCGGACGGAAUUCACCUUCCAGGUAGUUUGCCUGUGUGAGGGAAGGU
rnacentral:lncRNA from 1 species